GACGAACGCUGGCGGCGUGCCUAAUACAUGCAAGUUGAGCGCUGAAGGUUGGUACUUGUACCAACUGGAUGAGCAGCGAACGGGUGAGUAACGCGUGGGGAAUCUGCCUUUGAGCGGGGGACAACAUUUGGAAACGAGUGCUAAUACCGCAUAAAAACUUUAAACACAAGUUUUAAGUUUGAAAGAUGCAAUUGCAUCACUCAAAGAUGAUCCCGCGUUGUAUUAGCUAGUUGGUGAGGUAAAGGCUCACCAAGGCGAUGAUACAUAGCCGACCUGAGAGGGUGAUCGGCCACAUUGGGACUGAGACACGGCCCAAACUCCUACGGGAGGCAGCAGUAGGGAAUCUUCGGCAAUGGACGAAAGUCUGACCGAGCAACGCCGCGUGAGUGAAGAAGGUUUUCGGAUCGUAAAACUCUGUUGGUAGAGAAGAACGUUGGUGAGAGUGGAAAGCUCAUCAAGUGACGGUAACUACCCAGAAAGGGACGGCUAACUACGUG
rnacentral:rRNA from 1 species